CACAAGCGGUGGAGUAUGUGGUUUAAUUCGAUGCAACGCGAAGAACCUUACCUGGUCUUGACAUCCCGGAGACCCUUAGGAAACUAGGGGGUGGCUUCCAUCUGGAAGAAUCUGGAGACAGGUGCUGCAUGGCUGUCGUCAGCUCGUGUCGUGAGAUGUUGGGUUAAGUCCCGCAACGAGCGCAACCCUUGCCUUUAGCUGCCAGCAGUUCGGCUGGGCACUCUAAAGGGACUGCCGGUGUUAAACCGGAGGAAGGUGGGGAUGACGUCAAGUCCUCAUGGCCUUUAUGACCAGGGCUACACACGUACUACAAUGGCCGAUACAAAGGGCAGCGACACUGCGAGGUGAAGCCAAUCCCGUAAAAUCGGUCUCAGUCCGGAUUGGAGUCUGCAACUCGACUCCAUGAAGUUGGAAUCGCUAGUAAUCGUGGAUCAGCAUGCCACGGUGAAUACGUUCCCGGGCCUU
rnacentral:rRNA from 1 species